AACGAACGCUGGCGGCAGGCUUAACACAUGCAAGUCGAGCGCCCCGCAAGGGGAGCGGCAGACGGGUGAGUAACGCGUGGGAAUCUACCCAUCUCUACGGAAUAACGCAUGGAAACGUGUGCUAAUACCGUAUACGUCCUUCGGGAGAAAGAUUUAUCGGAGAUGGAUGAGCCCGCGUUGGAUUAGCUAGUUGGUGGGGUAAAGGCCUACCAAGGCGACGAUCCAUAGCUGGUCUGAGAGGAUGAUCAGCCACACUGGGACUGAGACACGGCCCAGACUCCUACGGGAGGCAGCAGUGGGGAAUAUUGGACAAUGGGCGCAAGUCUGGUCCAGCCAUGCCGCGUGAGUGAUGAAGGCCCUAGGGUUGUAAAGCUCUUUCACCGGUGAAGAUAAUGACGGUAACCGGAGAAGAAGCCCCGGCUAACUUCGUGCCAGCCGCCGCGGUAAUAC
rnacentral:rRNA from 1 species